GACGAACGCUGGCGGCGUGCCUAAUACAUGCAAGUAGAACGCUGAAGGAGGAGCUUGCUUCUCUGGAUGAGUUGCGAACGGGUGAGUAACGCGUAGGUAACCUGCCUGGUAGCGGGGGAUAACUAUUGGAAACGAUAGCUAAUACCGCAUAAGAGUAGAUGUCGCAUGACAUUUGCUUAAAAGGUGCAAUUGCAUCACUACCAGAUGGACCUGCGUUGUAUUAGCUAGUUGGUGAGGUAACGGCUCACCAAGGCAACGAUACAUAGCCGACCUGAGAGGGGGGUCGGCCACACUGGGACUGAGACACGGCCCAGACUCCUACGGGAGGCAGCAGUAGGGAAUCUUCGGCAAUGGACGGAAGUCUGACCGAGCAACGCCGCGGGAGUGAAGAAGGUUUUCGGAUCGUAAAGCUCUGUUGUAAGAGAAGAACGAGUGUGAGAGUGGAAAGUUCACACUGUGACGGUAUCUUACCAGAAAGGGACGGCUAACUACGUG
rnacentral:rRNA from 1 species